rnacentral:rRNA from 1 species
GACGAACGCUGGCGGCGUGCUUAGCACAUGCAAGUCGAACGGAAAGGCCCUGCUUGCAGGGUACUCGAGUGGCGAACGGGUGAGUAACACGUGGGUGAUCUGCCCUGCACUUCGGGAUAAGCUUGGGAAACUGGGUCUAAUACCGGAUAGGAACCAUCUUUAGUGUGGUGGUUGGAAAGUUUUUUCGGUGUAGGAUGAGCUCGCGGCCUAUCAGCUUGUUGGUGGGGUAAUGGCCUACCAAGGCGGCGACGGGUAGCCGGCCUGAGAGGGUGUACGGCCACAUUGGGACUGAGAUACGGCCCAGACUCCUACGGGAGGCAGCAGUGGGGAAUAUUGCACAAUGGGCGCAAGCCUGAUGCAGCGACGCCGCGUGGGGGAUGAAGGCCUUCGGGUUGUAAACUCCUUUCGCUAGGGACGAAGCUUUGUUGUGACGGUACCUAGAUAAGAAGCACCGGCUAACUACGUG